AACGAACGCUGGCGGCAUGCCUAACACAUGCAAGUCGAACGAGACCUUCGGGUCUAGUGGCGCUCGGGUGCGUAACGCGUGGUAACCUGCCCUUAGGUUCGGAAUCACUCCCCGAAAGGGGUGCUCAUACCGGUUAAUCUCUUCGGACCAAAGAUUUAUCGCCUUUGGAUGGGCCCGCGUUGGAUUAGCUAGUUGGUAGGGUAAAAGCCUACCAAGGCGUCGUUCCAUAGCUGGUCUGUGAGGAUGAUCAGCCACACUGGCACUGAGACACGGCCCAGACUCCUACGGGAGGCAGCAGUGGGGAAUAUUGGACAAUGGGCGAAAGCCUGAUCCAGCAAUGUCGCGUGAGUGAUGAAGGCCUUAGGGUUGUAAAGCUCUUUUACCCGGGAUGAUAAUGACAGUACCGGGAGAAUAAGCUCCGGCUAACUCCGUG
rnacentral:rRNA from 1 species